UGCCGGGUCGUCUAACAGUAGGACUGCGCCCUUUGAAGGCGAGAAUGAUGGUGCGACUCCAUCCCCGGCAGCCA
rnacentral:tRNA from 1 species